AAAAAUGCAAGUAAAUCUGUCAGUUUUCGCUGUUCCUUAAACAUAAAAAUAAGACAGUUGUUUGUCAAAGGCAAUUCUUAAACAUUGCAGUUGUGAUCAUAGUAGAUGCCAUUAAGCUUGGAAACCAGAGCUUUAUAGGCAGCUAAUCUUAGUAAAGUACUUAAUUUUUAUUAUCGAUAAUAUGAGACGACGAGUCAAUUGAAAAUACCACUUGCCUGUCCACUUGAAAUUUAUGUCAAAUUAUUGAAAAAGCACAAAUGGAAUACUGUUAAAUUUGAGUUUGAUAGAAUGUGCCAUUUUCAACCAAAAGACUUAUUGUCGGUUGUCCAUAAGGCGCUGUUUCCAUGUAGCUUCAAUUUGAUAUCAACCUUAUCGACAACCGACAAUGUGGCACCUUUUGGUUGAAAACGUCACAAAUGUAGAUUAAUAUUGUUUUUUGACUACUUUUACCAUUAUUUAAGACGAUGUUUUGCGUGCCGCUGCCCAAGGGGUGACAUGUUUUUGCUAACAAUAGUUUUAUUAUUCGACUAUAGGAAAUUUAGCCUUAAUUGAAUCUAUUAAACGUGGUAUGUAUGUACUUAUUGUCUUUCUUUUUACACGCCCAUUCCAAAGAUCUAAAAUCAUUUAGGUAGGGUACUACACUGCAAAACUUAAUUCAAGACCAAAAAAAAGUAAGACAAUGUUGCCAUUGCAAUAAUUUAUUUGUAAAAUAGUAAAUUCCUUUUGAUAGUUAAUCACGCUAAGAUAAUUUUUUUAUUGGUAAUUUUACUCCUACUGUUUAAAAAAAGUACUUUUAUUUACUUAUUUUUACAUGAAUACAAGACGCGCUACUAAAAUGUGGCAGCAUUGUUUACUUUUUUGGGUCUUGAAUUACGUUUUGCAGUAUACGUACAUUUGGAAAUCAUUGUUUCGCUAACAUUCUUUUGAGAUGUGUUUUAUGUGAUAUCUAUUAUAUUAAUAAUGUAAAUAUUUCAAUACAGUUACUAUUAUGAUUAUCAAAUAAAUGGUUUAUUCUUUUACAA